GACAGAGGGUGCAAACGUUGUUCGGAAUUACUGGGCGUAAAGCGCAUGUAGGCGGCCUAGCAGGUCGGAUGUGAAAUCCCUCGGCUCAACCAAGGAAGUGCAUUCGAAACCGCAAGGCUCGACGUCCGAGAGGAUGGUGGAAUUCUCGGUGUAGAGGUGAAAUUCGUAGAUAUCGAGAGGAACACCGGCGGCGAAGGCGGCCAUCUGGACGAGGACUGACGCUGAGAUGCGAAAGCGUGGGGAGCGAACAGG
rnacentral:rRNA from 1 species